AAAUGAAGCAUGGUACUCAAAAGUGCAGUUUUCUUCUCUGAGUAAACAUCCCGCAUAAGCAAGGUGAGGUUAAAAAUGUGGAUCCGUCCGCCGUAGCCUUCCUAAUCCAAGUGAUUUUUGUCAUGCCUGAAAUAAUGAAGGAAAAAAGGUGUCAAAUCAGGCUUCAUCUCCAUUCAGUGACAUGGACGAUGAAGAAUGCAUUGUUGGGAAUACUCUCGGUCUGAGGAGAAGGAUGGUGAAUUUGGGUAUUUGCUGAUAGGCAUUGGUGUUUCAAACAAUGGAAAUACUUGGGAGCCCAAGAAAAUCUUUAUUGUAAUAAUUUCAUUGCAGCAUUUGAAAUCAAAUUUCUACCAUUGAAUGAGAAUCCUGAAAACAAGCUAAGCCAAGAGAAGAAAAUUGUGAAGAAAGAAGAACUAAAGCACAGUUUUCUCCUUGUCAUUAUGGAUGCCGUGGAGAGAAUCUUAGGAGCAAGCGAUGACAAAACUAUACAGGCUGACCAGAAUUACAAACACAUUUUCGCAGUGCUCAGAAUAAUUUGGCUUUGCAUAACAUUACUUCGGAAGGAUAAAUGUGUUAUAAAUUUGUAACUAGCAACAAUGAAUAUUAAAGGGGUAGCAGUUCAAUGGUGUGAAUUAACGAACAUGAUAUUAGGAUGUAUAACAGUAAUGAUGAAACCAGCAGAUAUAAUGAAUACAAGAUGUUUGAAAGGUGAGCCAGAGUAAACUAUUCAGCACCUAAUCACAAAAGGACUGAACAACCUAAAGAAAAGUUGUACUAUUGGAGUGCAAUCUCUGUGGCCGAAGAGGACAUUGGGCAACGAGGAUAGCCCCGCAGCCACUGGAAUAUCGCCCAGGAUUCCGAGGAGGGCCACAUCACCACCGAAGGGGGACCGUUGGGCAACGAAGGUCACCGCCAGAAUCCUAGCCCAAAAUUGCAAGGAGGGCUGGUAACACUACUGAGGAGGAUUACUGGACACCGGGAAUCGCCGCCGAAGUCGCCAAGGGUUACCAGGUAUUGCUUUAACAACUUUAGAUGUCUAAUCGUUUUUUUUAUGUAUUUAGAGUGGUCCACAUAAUCGAAGAAAGCCACUGGACAACGAGGUUCGCCGUCGGAGCCACCUCGAUCGUCGCCCAAAAUUGUCAAGAGGGCUACAUCACCAUCGAAGAGGAAGCCGCUGGAGCAACGAGAGGCACGGGUAUUGAGGUAUUGUUUAAAAAUCGUUCAAGUGCUUAAUCGUGUUUAUUUUUUAUGUAUGUAAGAGGGCUGCACCACCGCCGAAGAGGAUGC